rnacentral:ncRNA from 1 species
GGAAGCCGGUGGGACUCCGGCACGGUCGCGCCACUGUAAGCCCGUACGGCCGCUCCCCGGGAGGGGACCGGUGGGCGGAGUCAGAC